rnacentral:miRNA from 1 species
AUUCAGCAGACACAUUCCAGCCAAUCAGCAGCAGACCCUCCCUGCCAGACCAUCCCACCUCCUGGACAGCAUCUAUUUUACAUUCAUUGUGAAGCUGCAUUCUUAGUGAGCUGUCCAGGAGGUGGGAGGGUCUGGGAGGGAGGGUCUGCUGCUGAUUGGCUGGAAUGUGUCUGCUG